rnacentral:lncRNA from 1 species
CCCAGUGUCCCCAGUGUCCUCUGUUGUGCCCAGUGUCCUCAUUGUCCUCAGUGCCCCAUUGUCCCCAUUGUCCCGAAUGCCCCCAUUGUCCCCAUUGUCCCCAGUGCCCCUCUGUCCCCACAGGUGUUCCGUUGGGAGCAGCUCCCGACGUCCCUCCGGGGCCGAUUGGCUGGGGCUGAAGGACGAGGAUUUCCUGGGACUGGGGGACGAGGAUUUCCUGGGAAUGGGACAGAAGGACAGGGAUCCCACAGGAAUGGGACAGAAGGACAAGGAUCGCCCAGGACUGGGACAGAAGAACAAAGAUCCCUCAGGAUUGGGAUCAAAGGACGAGGAUUUCCCAGGAUUGGGACACAAGGACGAGGAUUUCCCGGGAUUGGGACACAAGGACGAGGAUUUCCCGGGAUUGGGACACAAGGACGAGGAUUUCCCGGGACCGAAGGCCGAGGACCCCCCCAGCCCCGGUGCCCCCGGAUCCCUGCGGAAUUCCCGCCCCCGGAGGGUCCCGGAGCCCCCCGAGCCCGGCAGGCAGGUGGGCCCAGGUGACAUCCCUGUCCCAGGUGUCCCCUCCAGGUGUCCCCAGGGAUGUCCCUGCUCUGGAAUUCCCACCUGAGCUCCUCCCAC